UGGGAUUACAAUUAGUGUGUGGAUUAAAACGGAUGGCAGAGACGGGGCUAGAAAGGAAAACGUCGGAAAAAGGGAGGGCACUCAAAGAAAAACGUACAUUUUCUAGAAAAAAACAAACUUGAAAUUGCUUAAUUGCUAACGGGCUUCCAGCAUUUGCAGCGCCAGGAGAUUGGAAUGGGGGAGCCGCCCAGUGGAGGGGUCUCCCCAGCACUUCCCGGGUUGGCCCACACCCGCUUCCCUCCCUGCCUGGGCCUUUGGCGAGGCUGCCCUUUUCUCUCUGUUGCCCUUCCUUCUUUUUCUCCCUUUCUUUUUUCUCCUCUAGAUUUGUAACUGGAAAGAGAAGGAGAAAAAGCACUUGCCUGAGCGAUGGGUGAUUUAAAAAUAUCUCUUCUGCUGUCCCUGUGGUUAUCAAGCUUGUCUUCCUGCCCCUGCAUGGGAGCUGCUGCCCACCCGGCUCAGGUGCACGGGGCGCUGAGGCUGGGGCCGCCCUGGCAGAAGGGACAGCUCGCCAGCCUCCCCACCAGCCCCUCUUCUGGCUGAAGGCUGGUGGCCCCCACUGGGGGUAGGGGGAUUGUGUGCACCCCACCUCCACUGUACCGUGCCCUCCAGCCUGGCAAGUAACAGCACGACAGAGACAGGGGCCCCUGACACUGAGGCUUGCAUGUUGGUGCACAGGCAGGCUGGGGCUGUCCCCUCCGGGAGGCAAGGCCAAAUUCCCCAUCAGGUCAGGUCAGCACUCUCCCUGACCCCAUGCCCCAGCUCACAUCCUGGCCAGGUCCAGGCCAGCUGCAUUCUCCCCCUUCUGCCCUUACUUCCAGGUCUAGGCAGCACCCGGGUAGGUGGGCGCCUGGUCGGGUGGCCUAGCCCUUUGUCUUGCUCAUUCUAAGUUUGGCCACGUGGUUCUUGGCGUGUAGGCCCCGGAGGGCUGUGAGAAACGGCUCUGGGCUCUGGCCUGGCCUGUGUCCUCCCUGCUUCUUCUUGAUCCCAGGUCCUCCCAGCCUCCCCAAGCGCAGGGUGCUCUAGAGGGCGCUGGAGGCCCCUCGGGGCUGCCUCUUUCAGGGUCUGAAGGGUCAUGUGUCCCCGUCCCUGGAGGCCCCAUUUCCUCCCCCCUGCGGACCGAAGAGAACGCUUGUGCUCGGAGAUGUUCAACCCAUUUGUGAUGGGCAACUUGGUCAUGCAGACAUCCAGCUAGAAGCAUCUGUAGCUGAAAGAAAGCCUUUUGAAAUUGUUAAGAGCCAGAAUAUUGUAUUGGUUUUUAAAAUUUAGCUGCAUGUAUUUUUUUAAAAAAAGAAUUAUACCCCAGAUCACUUUGCUUUGGUCUGUGUCUAUAUAUGAUCUAGUUUAGAGAGAAAAAAGCAUAAUUACGUUAAACAAUUUUUUUGCGUCUUGUGUGCGGACUUCCACAUGGCUGGUUUGGCUGCCUUGCUUCCCAUUUUCCUGGAUGGCUUCAGUCCGCAGGCCACAGCUGCAGCCAGCCCGCCCCUCCCUCUGCUGACUGCCCCUUGGAAAGGAAAAUUGACCCGGAUUCUUCCCGCCUGUCUGGGAGUAGAAUCCAACCAUCGGGGAUGGAGGCCCUGGCCUCCAUGAGGCUGCCUCUUUUUGCUGGGCUGCUCUUCCUGUGCCUGUCUGGCCUGGCACUGCCACCCCGGCUGGACUGAGGCUGUUCCUGCUGGCUGCCGGGGCUGCCUUUCCCCAACCCCACCCAACACUUUCAGAAUGUCAGUCUGAGGGGCCCUGAUGGGUGGGGACAUGGGGCUCCCAGGCUUCUUCCAUUGUUUUUCUAAAAAUGAAAGUGCUGGGAGCUUUAGACUCGGGCCGCAGGUUUUAUGGUAAAGUGCUGUUCCAGUAACCUUGUCACCAAAAGGUGCAAUUAAAAUGUUUGGAAUCAUU
rnacentral:lncRNA from 1 species